GACGAACGCUGGCGGCGUGCUUAACACAUGCAAGUCGAGCGGUAAGGCCCUUUCGGGGGUACACGAGCGGCGAACGGGUGAGUAACACGUGGGUGACCUGCCCUCAGCUCUGGGAUAAGCCUGGGAAACCGGGUCUAAUACCGGAUAUGACUCCAUGACGCAUGUUGUGGGGUGGAAAGCCUUGUGCGGCUGAGGAUGGGCCCGCGGCCUAUCAGCUUGUUGGUGGGGUGAUGGCCUACCAAGGCGACGACGGGUAGCCGGCCUGAGAGGGCGACCGGCCACACUGGGACUGAGACACGGCCCAGACUCCUACGGGAGGGCAGCAGUGGGGAAUCUUGCGCAAUGGGCGAAAGACCUGACGCAGCGACGCCGCGUGAGGGA
rnacentral:rRNA from 1 species